rnacentral:rRNA from 1 species
AGCAGCCGCGGUAAUUCCAGCUCCAAUAGCGUAUAUUAAAGUUGUUGCAGUUAAAAAGCUCGUAGUUGAAUUUCGGGAUCAAAUUGUCGGUCGUGCCUCGGUACGCACUGGUAUUAUUGGUUCCUACCUUCUGAAGAACCGCGAUGUCAUUAAUUUGGUGUCGUGGGGAAUCAGGACUGUUACUUUGAAAAAAUUAGAGUGUUUAAAGCAGGCUUACGCUUGAAUACAUUAGCAUGGAAUAAUGAAAUAGGACGUUUGAUUCUAUUUUGUUGGUUUCUAGGAUUGACGUAAUGAUUAAUAGGGAUAGUUGGGGGCAUUAGUAUUCAAUUGUCAGAGGUGAAAUUCUUGGAUUUAUUGAAGACUAACUACUGCGAAAGCAUUUGCCAAGGAUGUUUUCAUUAAUCAAGAACGAAAGUUAGGGGAUCGAAGACGAUCAGAUACCGUCGUAGUCUUAACCAUAAACUAUGCCGACUAGGGAUCGGAUGAUGUUAAUUUUUAAUGUACUCAUUCGGCGCCUUAC